rnacentral:rRNA from 1 species
AGUAACGCGUGGGUAACCUGCCUCGUACAGGGGAGUAACAGUUAGAAAUGACUGCUAAUACCGCAUGAGCGCACAGUGCUGCAUGGCACAGUGUGAAAAACUCCGGUGGUAUGAGAUGGACCCGCGUCUGAUUAGCUAGUUGGUGGGGUAACGGCCUACCAAGGCGACGAUCAGUAGCCGGCCUGAGAGGGUGAACGGCCACAUUGGGACUGAGACACGGCCCAA